AUUGAACGCUGGCGGCAGGCCUAACACAUGCAAGUCGAGCGAGCGGCGGACGGGUGAGUAAUGUAUGGGGACUGCCCGAUAGAGGGGGAUAACUACUGGAAACGGUAGCUAAUACCGCAUACGAUCGGAGAACCCAGAUGGGGUUAGCUAGUAGGGGAGGUAAUGUCGCACGGCGGCGACGCUCCCUAGCUGGUCUGAGAGGAUGAUCAGCCACACUUGGACUGAGCCACGGCCCAGACUCCGACGGAGGCAGCAGGGGGGAAUAUUGCACGAUGGGUGCAAGCCUGAUGCAGCCAUGCCGCGUGUAUGAAGAAGGCCCUAGGGUUGUAAAGUACUUUCAGUCGGGAGGCGUUACCGACAGAAGAAGCACCGGCUAACUCCGUGCCAACCGCCGCGGUAAUUC
rnacentral:rRNA from 1 species